rnacentral:rRNA from 1 species
AAAGAAACCAACAGGGAUUGCCCUAGUAACGGCGAGUGAAGCGGCAACAGCUCAAAUUUGAAAUCUGGCGCUUGCGCCCGAGUUGUAAUUUGCAGAGGAUGCUUUUGGCGCGGUGCCUUCCGAGUUCCCUGGAACGGGACGCCAUAGAGGGUGAGAGCCCCGUACGGUUGGACACUAAGCCUCUGUAAAGCUCCUUCGACGAGUCGAGUAGUUUGGGAAUGCUGCUCUAAAUGGGAGGUAAAUUUCUUCUAAAGCUAAAUACCGGCCAGAGACCGAUAGCGCACAAGUAGAGUGAUCGAAAGAUGAAAAGCACUUUGAAAAGAGGGUUAAAUAGCACGUGAAAUUGUCAAAGGGGAAGGGUUUAUGACCAGACUUGUGCCUGGCGGAUCAUCCGGUGUUCUCACCGGUGCACUUCGCCUGGUAUAGGCCAGCAUCGGUUUCCGUAGGGGGAUAAAGGCUUUGGGAACGUAGCUCUCUCCGGGGAGUGUUAUAGCCCAUUGUGUAAUACCCUUAUGGGGACCGAGGACCGCGCUUCGGCUAGGAUGCUGGCAUAAUGGUUAUUAACCACCCGUCUUGAAACACGGACCAAGGAGUCGAACAUUUGUGCGAGUGUUUGGGUGUUAAACCCUCACGCGUAAUGAAAGUGAACGGAGGUGAGAGCCUUUUAGGUGCAUCAUCGACCGAUCCUGAUGUCUUCGGAUGGAUUUGAGUAAGAGCAUAAAUGUCCGGACCCGAAAGAUGGUGAACUAUGCGUGGAUAGGGUGAAGCCAGAGGAAACUCUGGUGGAGGCUCGCAGCGGUUCUGACGUGCAAAUCGAUCGUCAAAUCUGCGCAUGGGGGCGAAAGACUAAUCGAACCAUCUAGUAGCUGGUUACCGCCGAAGUUUCCCUCAGGAUAGCAGUGUUGUAUUCAGUUUUAUGAGGUAAAGCGAAUGAUUAGGGACUCGGGGGCGCUUUUUAGCCUUCAUCCAUUCUCAAACUUUAAAUAUGUAAGAAGCCCUUG